CUGCAUCUGGUGCAACAGGAGCACGCCCGGUUCGACUGGGAGGUGGGGGUUCGAGACCCUCGAUGCUAG